UACGUAGGGGGCAAGCGUUGUCCGGAUUUAUUGGGCGUAAAGAGCUUGUAGGCGGUUUGUCGCGUCUGCUGUGAAAAUCCGGGGCUCAACCCCGGACUUGCAGUGGGUACGGGCAGACUAGAGUGUGGUAGGGGAGACUGGAAUUCCUGGUGUAGCGGUGAAAUGCGCAGAUAUCAGGAGGAACACCGAUGGCGAAGGCAGGUCUCUGGGCCACUACUG
rnacentral:rRNA from 1 species